UAUGGCCUCGUCCAUGACAGGCCUGCGUUUCUCUAGGAGUGCUUAAUUUAUGGCUCUUUGUUUCUUCCUGACCAAAGAGUUUUUUUAUGACUAGAGGGGUCGUGGUGUGAUCCUACAGAUUGUUUAUGAUAAUGAGUGUCUGCGGGGGUGUUAAUUGCUUUACGACACACCCUACAAUAGGUAUCCUUUAUGUUUAAAAGUAGGGUCAGUUACACAGAAGUCUCUAAGAUCGCGGCCGUGUAUCAGAGCGCUGUGUAAUUUUAGGCGAAUCGUCGAUUCUCGUUUUAACUCGCCUUUAAAGCUUUAUAUAUUAUUUUUGAGAAUACUUCAAAGAGGAGAUGGCUGUCUGUCGCAACAGUAUCUAACGCUACAGGUGAUGAUGAUAUUGUGUCUAUCCCGGACAUCGUAGACGAAAUCAGGUUUCUGAACAAGGCAAGCGGGUCGAACACAGAAGUCCCGCGAGUCAGGUUUGAAAACCCCGUGCUCGG